rnacentral:sRNA from 1 species
CGCAUGCGCCCGCCGCCCGA